rnacentral:rRNA from 1 species
CAUUGUUGCGGUUAAGAGGCUCGUAGUUGGAUUGAAUAAAACAUAUAUACACAAUACUGUGAACAAACCAGAGUGUAUAAAACAUGUAAUAUAUUAUAUAUUUAGCAAUGAAUGUUUUAUCAUGGAAUAUUGCUAUAAUGAAUAUUAAUAUCGAUGGAGAUAGUUGGAGUUAAGAGUACUGAUAGGCGAGCGGUGAAAUGCAUUGACCCUAUUAAGACUAACAAAAGCGAAAGCACUUAACUAGAUUAUUCUCUUUGUAUUAUUUUACAAUGAAGAGCGAAGGUUGGGGGAACAAAGAGGAUCAGAUACCCUCGUAGUCCUAUUUUUACAUCAAACUAUGGGAUUUCAUUCACACUAAACACUAAACAUUAUAAUUAUAAUUAUGAUUGAGUAUAUGUCAAAAUAUUACUCUCAUAUUAAAUAAUUAUUAUAUAUAUGAUUAUAUGUACUUUGAGCUCAUAUAAUUAUAUAGGUGAGAUGUAAGCAUUAUAAAGUGAAUAAUAUACAAGUAAUAUUGUAUUAUUAUGAUCUUUAAAAUAAAAAAUGUAAUGUGAUGCACGUUUUAGGUACGAGCUUACUAUAGAAAUAUUUAAAAUNNNNNNNNNNNNNNNNNNNNNNNNNNNNNNNNNGAAACUUGAAGGAAUUGACGGAAGGGCACCACAAGAACGCGUGGAGCAUGUGGCUUAAUUUGACUCAACCCGGGAAAUCUUACCAGGUCCAGACAUAUUGAGGAUUGACAGGCGAUAGUAUAUAAUUCAUUUAUAUGCAUAAAAAUGAUAGUCCUUUCAUGAUUAUAUGAUAGGUGGUGCAUGGCCGUUCUUAGUUCGUGGAGUGAUUUGUCUGCUUAAUUGCGUUUCAGUAAAUAAAAUAUAUAAUAUAUUAUAAUAUUUAGUUCUGCCUUGAAUAUUAUUCAAGGAUUUAAAGUGAACAUAUUAUAUAUAUUAUUAUAUAAUAAAUGAAUGC